ACAAUGAUCAUGUUUUUUUAACGGUUUUGAAAGAGCCCCUGAUUGGGCCAGGGUGGCAUUUACCUGGUGGAGUCUUAGUCCGGUAGCAUGACGAUUAAAACUAAAUUAUUCGGCUAAUGUCUCGUCCGCUACAUAGGCAAAUUAGUCUGAGACUGCAAUCACGGAGGGGGUUCGCUUAUCUGGCCCGAAGAGUUUGAACCGGGUGAAACGUGAUUGCUUUCGUUUUGGAACGGGGCUGCCUCCGGGGCGUGAGCCAGUGCCCAGCGCUCGCCGACCGCGAACACUGACCAAAACAAACGUGACAUAGCCACGCACGUGUAGUAAUGAGUGGGAUUGUGUUUUCACAUGCAAAGGACCAGUAAACAUCGUACAACCGAAGUCAGGGUGUAUGCGCCCCGCCUGCCACAAGGAGUCACUGGAGUGCGAUGGGAGAAGCACAUCCGGCAGGCAGUCUCCAAUCAAAACACAUUUUAUUUGUCACAUGCACCGAAUACAAUUGGUGUAGACUUUACCGUGAGAUGCU
rnacentral:lncRNA from 1 species